rnacentral:rRNA from 1 species
GCACAAGCGGUGGAUGAUGUGGAUUAAUUCGAUGCAACGCGAAAACCUUACCUACCCUUGACAUGUACGGAACCCUGCUGAGAGGUGGGGGUGCUCGAAAGAGAGCCGUAACACAGGUGCUGCAUGGCUGUCGUCAGCUCGUGUCGUGAGAUGUUGGGUUAAGUCCCGCAACGAGCGCAACCCUUGUCAUUAGUUGCUACGCAAGAGCACUCUAAUGAGACUGCCGGUGACAAACCGGAGGAAGGUGGGGAUGACGUCAAGUCCUCAUGGCCCUUAUGGGUAGGGCUUCACACGUCAUACAAUGGUCGGUACAGAGGGUAGCCAACCCGCGAGGGGGAGCCAAUCCCAGAAAACCGAUCGUAGUCCGGAUCGCAGUCUGCAACUCGACUGCGUGAAGUCGGAAUCGCUAGUAAUCGCGGAUCAGCAUGUCGCGGUGAAUACGUUCCCGGGUCUU